rnacentral:lncRNA from 1 species
ACAGAGAGGAAGUAACAAAAGUGAAGGGGAGAUAAAGUGUCUCCAGAUUCCUCAAAUGCAUGGGCAACUUUAGAAUGAAGGAAAUGGAGAUGAGGUUGCACAUGGAUAUGUGUGGUGUGUACUGGUUAUACAGGUUUAUUUAAUCUUAAGAACCCAUCAACUUGGACAUCUGUGGAUUCUAUUUUAUGCAAAUCAUACUUAUUUUAUAAAUUCAAAAAAUACGGGAAUUUGAAAAUACAUCAGAAGAAUGAAGAGCACACUGAUAAUCACGGCUUCUCUGUGUACCAGGCAGCUUACGAG